rnacentral:rRNA from 1 species
AUUGAACGCUGGCGGCAGGCCUAACACAUGCAAGUAGAACGAGUGGCGGACGGGUGAGUAAUGUCUGGGAAACUGCCUGAUGGAGGGGGAUAACUACUGGAAACGGUAGCUAAUACCGCAUACCAUCGGAUGUGCCCAGAGGUGAUUAGCUAGUAUGUGGGGUAACGGCUCACCUAGGCGACGAUCCCUAGCUGGUCUGAGAGGAUGACCAGCAAACCUGGAACUGUGACACGGUCCAGACUCCUACGUGAGGCAGCAGUGGGGAUUAUUGCACAAUGGGCGCAAGCCUGAUGCAGCAAUGCCGCGUGUAUGAAGAAGGCCUUCGGGUUGUAAAGUCCUUUCAGCGGGGAGGCGUUACCCGCAGAAGAAGCACCGGCUAACUCCGUGCCAGCCGCCGCGGUAAUAC